rnacentral:rRNA from 1 species
UACGUAGGGUGCAAGCGUUAAUCGGAAUUACUGGGCGUAAAGCGUGCGCAGGCGGUUCUAUAAGACAGAUGUGAAAUCCCCGGGCUCAACCUGGGAACUGCAUUUGUGACUGUAGAGCUGGAGUACGGCAGAGGGGGGUAGAAUUCCACGUGUAGCAGUGAAAUGCGUAGAGAUGUGGAGGAAUACCGAUGGCGAAGGCAGGUCUCUGGGCAUUAACUGACGCUGAGGAGCGAAAGCAUGGGGAGCGAACAGG